GACGAACGCUGGCGGCGUGCUUAACACAUGCAAGUCGAGCGGUAAGGCCCUUUCGGGGGUACGACGAGCGGCGAACGGGUGAGUAACACGUGGGUGACCUGCCCUCAGCUCUGGGAGUAAGCCUGGGAAACCGGGGUCUAAUACUGGAUAUGACUCCAUGACGCAUGUUGUGGGGUGGAAAGCCUUGUGCGGCUGAGGAUGGGCCCGCGGCCUAUCAGCUUGUUGGUGGGGUGAGGCCUACCAAGG
rnacentral:rRNA from 1 species